rnacentral:rRNA from 1 species
UACGUAGGGACCAAGCGUUGUCCGGAAUCAUUGGGCGUAAAGAGCGUGUAGGCGGCUUGUUAAGUCUUGCGUGAAAUCUCGGGGCUCAACCCCGAGCGGUCGUGAGAAACUGGCAGGCUAGAGUGCGGGAGAGGAGAGUGGAAUUCCUGGUGUAGCGGUGAAAUGCGCAGAUAUCUGGAGGAACACCGGUGGCGAAGGCGGCAUCCUGGACCAAUAUUGACGCUGAGGAGCGAAAGCCAGGGGAGCAAACGGG